CUACGGGGUGCAGCAGUGGGGAAUAUUGGACAAUGGAGGAAACCCUGAUCCAGCAAUGCCGCGUGUGUGAAGAAGGCCUGCGGGUUGUAAAGCACUUUCGGUUGGGAGGACUGCUUCUAGCACUAAUAUUGUUGGAAGUUGACGUUACCUUCAGAAGAAGCACCGGCUAACUCCGUGCCAGCAGCCGUGGUAAUACGGAGGGUGCAAGCGUUAAUCGGAAUUACUGGGCGUAAAGCGCGCGUAGGCGGCUAGAUCAGUCGGGUGUGAAAGCCCCGGGCUUAACCUGGGAACUGCAUCCGAUACUGUCUAGCUUGAGUACAGGAGAGGAGAGUGGAAUUCCACGUGUAGCGGUGAAAUGCGUAGAUAUGUGGAGGAACACCAAUGGCGAAGGCAGCUCUCUGGCCUGAUACUGACGCUGAGGUGCGAAAGCGUGGGGAGCAAACAGGAUUAGAUACCCGCGUAGUC
rnacentral:rRNA from 1 species